GAUGAACGCUGUCUACAGGCUUAACACAUGCAAGUCGAGGGGAAACGACGGGGAAGCUUGCUUCCCCGGGCGUCGACCGGCGCACGGGUGAGUAACGCGUAUCCAACCUGCCUCUGACUGAGGGAUAACCCGUCGAAAGACGGCCUAAUACCUCAUGGCAUCGUCUGCGGGCAUCCAACGACGAUUAAAGAUUUCAUCGGUCAGGGAUGGGGAUGCGUCUGAUUAGCUUGUUGGCGGGGUAACGGCCCACCAAGGCUACGAUCAGUAGGGGUUCUGAGAGGAAGGUCCCCCACAUUGGAACUGAGACACGGUCCAAACUCCUACGGGAGGCAGCAGUGAGGAAUAUUGGUCAAUGGGCGGGAGCCUGAACCAGCCAAGUAGCGUGCAGGAUAACGGCCCUAUGGGUUGUAAACUGCUUUUAUGCGGGGAUAAAGUGAGGGACGUGUCCUUCAUUGCAGGUACCGCAUGAAUAAGGACCGGCUAAUUCCGUG
rnacentral:rRNA from 1 species